rnacentral:rRNA from 1 species
UUAAGUUAUUAAGGGCGCACGGUGGAUGCCUUGGCACUAGAAGCCGAUGAAGGACGUUACUAACGACGAUAUGCUUUGGGGAGCUGUAAGUAAGCUUUGAUCCAGAGAUUUCCGAAUGGGGAAACCCAGCAUGAGUUAUGUCAUGUUAUCGAUAUGUGAAUACAUAGCAUAUCAGAAGGCACACCCGGAGAACUGAAACAUCUUAGUACCCGGAGGAAGAAAAAGAAAAUUCGAUUCCCUUAGUAGCGGCGAGCGAAACGGGAAGAGCCCAAACCAACAAGCUUGCUUGUUGGGGUUGUAGGACACUCUAUACGGAGUUACAAAGGACGACAUUAGACGAAUCAUCUGGAAAGAUGAAUCAAAGAAGGUAAUAAUCCUGUAGUCGAAAAUGUUGUCUCUCUUGAGUGGAUCCUGAGUACGACGGAACACGUGAAAUUCCGUCGGAAUCUGGGAGGACCAUCUCCUAAGGCUAAAUACUCUCUAGUGACCGAUAGUGAACCAGUACCGUGAGGGAAAGGUGAAAAGCACCCCGGAAGGGGAGUGAAAUAGAACCUGAAACCGUGUGCUUACAAGUAGUCAGAGCCCGUUAAUGGGUGAUGGCGUGCCUUUUGUAGAAUGAACCGGCGAGUUACGAUUUGAUGCAAGGUUAAGCAGUAAAUGUGGAGCCGUAGCGAAAGCGAGUCUGAAUAGGGCGUUUAGUAUUUGGUCGUAGACCCGAAACCAGGUGAUCUACCCUUGGUCAGGUUGAAGUUCAGGUAACACUGAAUGGAGGACCGAACCGACUUACGUUGAAAAGUGAGCGGAUGAACUGAGGGUAGCGGAGAAAUUCCAAUCGAACCUGGAGAUAGCUGGUUCUCUCCGAAAUAGCUUUAGGGCUAGCCUCAAGUGAUGAUUAUUGGAGGUAGAGCACUGUUUGGACGAGGGGCCCCUCUCGGGUUACCGAAUUCAGACAAACUCCGAAUGCCAAUUAAUUUAACUUGGGAGUCAGAACAUGGGUGAUAAGGUCCGUGUUCGAAAGGGAAACAGCCCAGACCACCAGCUAAGGUCCCAAAAUAUAUGUUAAGUGGAAAAGGAUGUGGCGUUGCCCAGACAACUAGGAUGUUGGCUUAGAAGCAGCCAUCAUUUAAAGAGUGCGUAAUAGCUCACUAGUCGAGUGACACUGCGCCGAAAAUGUACCGGGGCUAAACAUAUUACCGAAGCUGUGGAUUGUCCUUUGGACAAUGGUAGGAGAGCGUUCUAAGGGCGUUGAAGCAUGAUCGUAAGGACAUGUGGAGCGCUUAGAAGUGAGAAUGCCGGUGUGAGUAGCGAAAGACGGGUGAGAAUCCCGUCCACCGAUUGACUAAGGUUUCCAGAGGAAGGCUCGUCCGCUCUGGGUUAGUCGGGUCCUAAGCUGAGGCCGACAGGCGUAGGCGAUGGAUAACAGGUUGAUAUUCCUGUACCACCUAUAAUCGUUUUAAUCGAUGGGGGGACGCAGUAGGAUAGGCGAAGCGUGCGAUUGGAUUGCACGUCUAAGCAGUAAGGCUGAGUAUUAGGCAAAUCCGGUACUCGUUAAGGCUGAGCUGUGAUGGGGAGAAGACAUUGAGUCUUCGAGUCGUUGAUUUCACACUGCCGAGAAAAGCCUCUAGAUAGAAAAUAGGUGCCCGUACCGCAAACCGACACAGGUAGUCAAGAUGAGAAUUCUAAGGUGAGCGAGCGAACUCUCGUUAAGGAACUCGGCAAAAUGACCCCGUAACUUCGGGAGAAGGGGUGCUCUUUAGGGUUAACGCCCAGAAGAGCCGCAGUGAAUAGGCCCAAGCGACUGUUUAUCAAAAACACAGGUCUCUGCUAAACCGUAAGGUGAUGUAUAGGGGCUGACGCCUGCCCGGUGCUGGAAGGUUAAGAGGAGUGGUUAGCUUCUGCGAAGCUACGAAUCGAAGCCCCAGUAAACGGCGGCCGUAACUAUAACGGUCCUAAGGUAGCGAAAUUCCUUGUCGGGUAAGUUCCGACCCGCACGAAAGGCGUAACGAUUUGGGCACUGUCUCAACGAGAGACUCGGUGAAAUCAUAGUACCUGUGAAGAUGCAGGUUACCCGCGACAGGACGGAAAGACCCCGUGGAGCUUUACUGUAGCCUGAUAUUGAAAUUCGGCACAGCUUGUACAGGAUAGGUAGGAGCCUUUGAAACGUGAGCGCUAGCUUACGUGGAGGCGCUGGUGGGAUACUACCCUAGCUGUGUUGGCUUUCUAACCCGCACCACUUAUCGUGGUGGGAGACAGUGUCAGGCGGGCAGUUUGACUGGGGCGGUCGCCUCCUAAAAGGUAACGGAGGCGCUCAAAGGUUCCCUCAGAAUGGUUGGAAAUCAUUCAUAGAGUGUAAAGGCAUAAGGGAGCUUGACUGCGAGACCUACAAGUCGAGCAGGGUCGAAAGACGGACUUAGUGAUCCGGUGGUUCCGCAUGGAAGGGCCAUCGCUCAACGGAUAAAAGCUACCCCGGGGAUAACAGGCUUAUCUCCCCCAAGAGUUCACAUCGACGGGGAGGUUUGGCACCUCGAUGUCGGCUCAUCGCAUCCUGGGGCUGUAGUCGGUCCCAAGGGUUGGGCUGUUCGCCCAUUAAAGCGGUACGCGAGCUGGGUUCAGAACGUCGUGAGACAGUUCGGUCCCUAUCCGUCGUGGGCGUAGGAAAUUUGAGAGGAGCUGUCCUUAGUACGAGAGGACCGGGAUGGACAUACCUCUGGUGUACCAGUUGUCGUGCCAACGGCAUAGCUGGGUAGCUAUGUGUGGACGGGAUAAGUGCUGAAAGCAUCUAAGCAUGAAGCCCCCCUCAAGAUGAGAUUUCCCAACUUCGGUUAUAAGAUCCCUCAAAGAUGAUGAGGUUAAUAGGUUCGAGGUGGAAGCAUGGUGACAUGUGGAGCUGACGAAUACUAAUCGAUCGAAGACUUAAUC